GAAGUACAUCUGCAAACUGGUAAACUGCACAGUGGUCUCAUGGGAAAUCUCACCUAACACUUUUGGGAAAUUUUUGGGAAAUUUUUGGGAACUGACUCAGUUGGAUCUAGAAUAAACUUAAACAGAAAUUAGAGAAGCAGAACAUACAAAUAUAGGAUUAACAGCUACCUACUAAUUUGCCAGGCUCUGUGAAAGCUGUGGCCAAACUGUGGGUCAGAAGCGAAACUCUAAGCCUCAUAUAAUUAAUGUUUUAAUUUAGGCAAACUAGCAUUACGGAAUAAAUAUGCGGUUUCCCUAUAUUAUCUACUUGGAAAGUCUGAAAGAUUUUCAAGUGAAGAAUUUUAAAUAAACAGUUCAGCAUUCCAAGAACUGGUCUUUUUGCAGUAUAAGAAAGCUGAAAAGUAAUGUUGGUAUUCAGAUUUGAUAUCAGGCAUCCUGAUUAAUCAAGUUUCCAGCAAACAGGAACUUAGAAGUUAUUUCGUUUGGAACGAAACCUACCUACUGUCAAACACAAAAGACACCAUACCUUUGAGAACUACAUCACACUCUUGCUUUGACAGAAGUCACCAAGUCAGCGCUGCAAGCUCCAUACACCCAGGAACCAGAGGACAGCUCUAGUGACCAACUCAGAGAAGGUCAAAUAAAAUUUCCAUGGCUUUGGGAGGAGAGCUAGAUCUCCAGUUGAUAUUCAUAGGGAGGACACAUAACCUCAGGUUGACCUUGCUUAUUGGUAUGAAUCAUUGACUGUCAGGCACAGGAGGAGAAUCAGGAACUGGAGCCAAAAAUUUCUUAAGUUAUUGACAAGAAUAUAAAAGUGGAGAAAAACAUCCACAAUUUCUCACUUGAUCAUCACUUUGAUCAUCAUCUUUACCCACUUUACAAGAUGGCCUAUCACAGGUCUUCUGCAUCCCUUUGAAACUGAUUCUGCAGUGCUGUAAGCCUGUUGUCCAGCAGGAAGAGAAUAUGUUUCCAUUAGACCAUGCCAUCCUGUCACCUGGAAACAGAAGUGUGCUGCAUGGGAG
ensembl:lncRNA